rnacentral:rRNA from 1 species
AUGAUGAGAGAAAUAUUGGAAACAAGUGAAGAUCUUGGGAAGGAUUUACAGAAGAAGGCACAAGACAUAGUAAAUGCAGUUCGCUUAGUGAAAUCGACAAAAGUGCUCCUAGAACAAAUGAGAACAGAUGAAGGAUGGGAAUUAUUCCUUUUGACGGUUAUUGAAUAUUGUGCAGAGCAUGACAUUGAUGUUCCAAACAUGGAGGAGACAUACAUUCUACGAGGUGGUCAUGCUCGUCGUCAACCUGAUCAUUUCACUAAUGAACGAUAUUUUCGAGUGGAGAUAUAUCGAGCAUCAAUUGAUAGCCAGCUGACCGAGUUGAAUCUCAAGUUCAAUGAUAAAGUAAUGGACCUUCUAAACAUUAGUGUUACACUAAUACCAAGAAAUGGAUUCAGCUCUUCCAAUGCUAAAGAAAUAUGCCUAAUGGUGGAGAAGUAUUAUCCUGCAGAUUUUAAUCAACAAGAGAGGUAUGCAUUGGAGCUUCAGCUAAAUCGCUUUGUUGUGGAUGCUAAUACCAGUGAGGACUUGAAGAUACCUAGAACCAUAUCAGCUCUAUGUCAAUGCCUUGUUGAGACAGGAAGACAUAUAAUCUAUAAUUGGAUUGAUAUAUUACUUCGAUUGCUUGUUACCCUUCCAGUUUCUACGGCAAGUGCUGAGUGUGCCUUUUCUAGUUUGAAAAUUAUCAAGUCAAGGCUGCGCAAUAGAAUGGAAGAUGAAUUUCUUGCGGAUAGCUUGCUGCUACAAGUAGAACGAGAAAUUGCAGCACAAAUAAGUUAUGAUAACAUAAUUGCUGAAUUCAAGGCUGUGAAGCUGAGGAGAGCAUAUCUUUAG